GACGAACGCUGGCGGCGUGCUUAACACAUGCAAGUCGAGCGGUAAGGCCCUUUCGGGGGUACGACGAGCGGCGAACGGGUGAGUAACACGUGGGUGACCUGCCCUCAGCUCUGGGAUAAGCCUGGGAAACCGGGUCUAAUACUGGAUAUGACUCCAUGACGCAUGUUGUGGGGUGGAAAGCCUUGUGCGGCUGAGGAUGGGCCCGCGGCCUAUCAGCUUGUUGGUGGGGGUG
rnacentral:rRNA from 1 species